AAAUGCAUCUCUUUCAUGCGCUUCUUUCCGCGCCUCAACAGUGUAAUUAGUGGUGCGAGCAUCAUCUCUGUUGAGCAUGGAAGUUGGCAAUAGAUAUGUGAGCUUAAAGAAGUACAUCAAUGGCGAGCCAUGUGAAUCUGACCUUGAAAUCAAGACUGCAACCCUCUCUCUAGAGCCCCGAAAGGGUUCAGGAGAUGUGAUUGUGAAGAACCUCUAUCUCUCUAUCGAUCCUUACCAGCUCAAUCGCAUGAAAUUGUACAACUCUUCUCAAUCAGCCCUCAGCACUUCCAGACGUCUUGCUCUCGGUCAGGUAAUUGAUGCGCCCGGUGUUGGCGAGGUAAUGGUAUCAGAUGAUGCAGAGUACAAGAAGGGGGAUUGGGUUGCUGAUUUCAUUGGAUGGCAGGAGUACAGUGUCAUUCAUGGAGGAGAAACCAUGCGAAAGAUUGAGACCAAAGAAUUCCCCUUAUCGUAUCACGCUGGAAUUUUAGGGUUUAGUGGGUUUACUGCAUAUGUUGGUUUUCACCAUAUAUGUAAACCCAAGAAAGGUGAUCGUGUGUUCGUUUCUGAGGCCGCAGGAUCGGUGGGAAGCCUAGUUGGGCAAUAUGCAAAACUUGCAGGUUGCUACACUGUUGGUUGUGCCUGAAGCAAGAAAAAGGUUGAUAUGCUGAAAGACAAGUUGGGUUUUGGUGAUGCAUUCAAUUACAGGGAUGAGCCUGAUCUAAAAGCAGCACUAAAACGGCAUUUCCCUGAUGGAAUUGACAUAUACUUUGACAAUGUUGGAGGAGAGAUGUUAGAGGCAGUUGUGGCCAACAUGAACUGUUUUGGUCGCAUUGGCAUGUGCGGUGCCAUUUCAGACUACACUAACUCUAGCAAGACCGCAGCAUUUGACACAGUGGACAUAAUCUACAAACGCGUAACAAUUCAAGGUUUCCUUCUAAACGAUUACAAAAACAUCUACCCGGAAUUCAUGAAGGCCACCGUUGAUUAUUUGUGUCGAGGGAAAAUUCAUGCCGUCGAGGACAUCUCUCAGGGCCUCGAGAGCGUGCCUGCAGCUUUUGUGGGGCUCUUCCAUGAAGACAAUACAGGGAAGAAACUUGUCCAAGUGACUCAUGAUUGAAGGUGAGCAAGUAGUAUGAUGGCUCAUUCUUGCCUAAGGCCGUUGUGUUUAUUGUAGUGUUUGCUUUUACUUGACUACUUAAUCAAUAUUGUGAUGCUAGUAUCCCAGUCUUUCUUUGGUCCAUUGCUUUGGCACUAUGUAGGAACUUCUUAAUCAAUAUUGAGAGGUGAUGUUGAGUUUGGGUGAGA